rnacentral:lncRNA from 1 species
UAAAAACUCUUGUCUUACUAAAAUUGUGAAGAUAGUUUUUCCAUAGACGAUUUAUGGUUCUAAGAUAGCCUUUUAAGUUUAUGAUCCAUCUUGAAUUAAUAUUUUUUUUUUAGGUUAAGUAGAGAUUAAACUUAUUUUUUUCUUAUGACCGUGGAGCUAUUCAAACACCAUUUGUUAAAAAAAAGGUAUUUCAUUCUCUCAUUUAAUUGUCCUGAUGCCAUAAUCCAAAAUCAAUUAAUGAUAUAUGACCAGAUUUAUUUCUGGAAUCCCAAUUAUCUUCCAUUUAUCUAUUUAGUCUUCUGUCAUAUCACACUAUCUUGAUUAAUAUAUUAUUCUUAUAUCUUUGUAAGUCUUCUGAAUGUGUUUUUAAAAUUUUUUUCAGGAUUGUUUUGGCUAUUUCAGAUCCUUUGCUUCUCUAACAGGUUUAGCAAAAGCAAGUAAGUUUCUUGACAAAGAAUGCAUUUGAUUUGGAAUGCAUUGAAUCUGCAGGACAAUUUGAAGAUAACCAAAAUAUUAUUGUCAAUUUUUUAAUCUAUGAAUGCUUAUUUUUCUAUUAGUUUUGCCACUAUUUAUCUCAGUAUUAUUUUGUGGUUUCCACUAAUUCUGGUAAUUUUCCACAUACAGAAAGUGCACGUUUUCCAAUUGAUUUAUUAUUAGGUAUUAGUUGUUUUUCACUAGAUUUUUAAUGAUAUUUUGGUAUAUAUACAUAUGUAUUGCACAUAAAUGUUAUAUACAUAAUUUAGUAUAUAAUAUAUUCAAUAUAAUAUAUAAUAAAUUACAUAUAAUUAGCAUAUAUGUCAUGUUUCAAUGGUUUGAUAUAUUUGUUUGAAUGUUAUAUAUAUGUCCAUAAUUUUAUAUUACGUGCAAAAUUUUCUACCAAGUACACUUACAAUGAGCAGCAUAAAAACUGACAUCACAGCAGAAUAACAAGUUAAUAGAAAACAACAACAAAAAAGAGUUGCCUCGAGGAAGUAAGAAAAUACUUCAAACAAGAAGAGGACCUGAGAGUGGACCAAAUGCUUACAUAUUGCUGUCAAACGCAAUCUAAGUCUUCUUAGCUGUAACUGGGUAUUCAUUUUUAAGUUCCUGCUGUGUGUAAGAUGUUACACUGAAUUCUUGUAUUAACCUACAACACAGGCUUAGUUGCUAACCAUACCUGAUAAACAUGAUCUGACAUCCAGGACCUAACCCUGACAAGAUUUGAUUUAUAGCAGCUGUCUUUGUUACCUGAUGAGCAUCAGUUUUGCCCAGACUAGGACAACUUAGACAGCCUGGUCAGCAAAAGUUUCAACAUGCUCUUUUUUUCUUUUUUAUAUUCUUUUCAUUUUCUUUCAUUAUUAAAAUAUGAAUAAAAUUAAUAUGUGAAUACUUGUAAGCAAUUAUAAGAAAAUUGUAUCCUGUUUCGGUCUUUUUAAAUAUAGGAUUUUUAGUUAUUUCUUGCAAUUGAGAGUAUGUAUUUUGUUUUAUGUUGUCUUUAAUUUUUAUUUCCUUGAGAUAAUUUUUGUCUUUGUACAAAAAAAACUAUAGUUUGAUACUCAUUAUUUAUUUUUUAC